GCCUCAUCUCAUGAGGUGCGUGGGCUCCACUUUCAGCCUCCUUAAUUUCCUCAUGUUUAUCCAUAAGAUUAAAUCAAUUAUGACUCUUAGAGUCCUAAUCUAAUUAGGACCCAAUUGAAUCAUGACUCAAUUGAACUCUUCAAUCCUAAUCCAAUUAGGAGUCAUCUUAAUUUAUUAGAUCAAAAUUAAUUAGGACUUUAGGAAUCCUAAAUUAAUUAGGACUCAUAUAAUUUUAGUCCUAAUCCAAUUAGGACUUUAGGAACCUACUCCAAGUAGGACUCUAAUUUAAUUUGAAGUCCUAAUCUAAUUAGGAAUCUAGGAGUCCUACUGCAAGUAGGACUCUUAUUAAAUAAGAUCAAGCCCAAUUAAUUAAGUCCAAUUGAUUUAAUUAAAUUGCAAUCCAAUUGCAAUUAUUUCUUCUUCUACUCACUAACUUUUAGGGAGUUAAAACAAUUAUCAAUCAAAUUGAUAAUUAUAAAUUAUUUGUGAUUCCAAAUCAUAAUUCAACCAUCGGAUCGGUCAAUACCUCUAAUGUGUGUGACCCCAUAGGUUCUAUUCUGUCUGGUAGUGAGAUAUAUUGCGAUCUCUAUCACAAUAUCAUUGAAAACUCCUUUCAAUGGGUUGGAACAAUUCCAACUCAACUCACCAGGGAUCAUCGAUCAUCAAGAUAGUCCUUGUGAGUCUCACCAUCCACCAGUGACACCUAGCAGCAUGUAGUGGCUACCCAGCAGAAUGGAAUGAUGAACCUCUAGGUGCAGUUAUCGUAUGAUACAGUCCUUCUAUCGUGGAUCCCUACAGGAUGGAGGUCAUGGAUAAUUCGUCAAACCCCAUCGUCUGUCAUAUGUCAAGAUUUAUUCGACUUAAGUUCGAGAGUGGAAAACUCCUUUUCCACUAUACAUACUACCCCGGCCGAGGAUUUACGAAAUCAGUCUCAUAAAUCACAUAGGAUCUCUCUUAACCUAUCAAGAUCGAUAGAUUCCAUCUAGAUGCACCCCUACUCCUACAAUGAACCUACUGCAGCCAAUCUGCACCACAAGAACCCAAUUGGCUAGGGCUCAUGUUUAUGUGCUCGUCAAACUACAGCAACCUCAACGAGUGGAUAGACAUCCAAGUGACUACUUGCUAUGGUCACGCUCAGUACCCUUGUUCUCUAACAAGCACUUGCACAAUUACUCCAGUGUCGCCACACUGUGGACUCAAGACUCGUCCAUCAAAGAAGG
rnacentral:lncRNA from 1 species